UACAGAGGUCUCGAGCGUUGUUCGGAUUCAUUGGGCGUAAAGGGCGCGUAGGCGGCGGGGUAAGUCUGGUGUGAAAUCUAGGAGCUCAACUCCUAAACUGCACUGGAUACUGCUCUGCUAGAGGACUGGAGAGGAGACUGGAAUUCACGGUGUAGCAGUGAAAUGCGUAGAUAUCGUGAGGAAGACCAGUGGCGAAGGCGGGUCUCUGGACAGUUCCUGACGCUGAGGCGCGAAGGCCGGGGAGCAAACGGG
rnacentral:rRNA from 1 species